rnacentral:rRNA from 1 species
CGCUAGAAGAAGUAACUUUUAGUAAUACCUGCCCAGUGCGAAAUAUUAAUGUAAACGGCCGCCYUAGCGKGAGGGUSCUAAGGUAGCGAAAUUCCUUGCCUUUUSAUUGUAGGCCYGCAUGAAUGGUUUAACGAGGGUUUAGCUGUCUCUAAAUUUUUAAUUGAAAUUGUAUUGAAGGUGAAGAUACCUUCAUUUAAAAGUUAGACAAAAAGACCCCGUGCAACUUUGAAAAUUAACUUUAUUCAGGGGUAAAAGAUUUUUAGGUGGGGCGCCUAGAAAGUAAGCCUAACCUUUCUGAGUAGGAGUUUCUUUCAGGAGUUGACCCGAUUAUAUUCGAUCAUAGGAGAAGUUACGCCGGGGAUAACAGGCUAAUCCUUUAGUAGAGCUCGUAUUGGCUAAAGGGAUUGGCACCUCGAUGUUGAAUCAGGGAUGAUAGCUUCAAGGCGUAGAGGCUUUGAGAGUAGGUCUGUUCGACCUUUAAUA